GAGUGCGUAAUAGCUCACUAGUCGAGAGGUCCUGCGCCGAAAAUGUCCGGGGCUGAAACACACUGCCGAAGCUCAGGGAUGAACAGUGAUCAAUACAGAUCAAUGUAAGAGGAAAGCUUCUUGAUGAAAUCAAGAAGAUUCCAAAACAGAUGAAACAGACUGCUGUUGGUCUGCGUUGAUCACUGUUCAUCGGUAGAGGAGCAUUCUUAAAGAGACGAAGCUGUACCGAAAGGAGCAGUGGAUUUUUAAGAAGAGAGAAUGCCGGAAUGAGUAGCGAGAAAGAGGUGAGAAUCCUCUUGGCCGAAUAUCUAAGGUUUCCAGGGUAAAGCUGAUCUGCCCUGGGUAAGUCGGGGCCUAAGGCGAGGUCGAAAGACGUAGUCGAUGGAUAACAGGUUGAAAUUCCUGUACUAUCCUGUAACAGAACUGUGGGGACGCAGACAGAGAGCACAAGCCGGGAAUGGAAAGACCGGUGCAAGCGAGGUAGGAGUACAUCAGGCAAAUCCGGUGUGCAAUCCGAAGACGUGAUGCGGAUCGAAAAGAAGUAGAGAAGUGUGUGAGCUGGCUGCCAAGAAAAGCCGCUAUUGUUUACAGGAUACCCGUACCGUAAACCGACACAGGUGGAUGAGGAGAGAAUCCUAAGGCCGACGGGAGAAGCAUUGUUAAGGAACUCGGCAAAAUGACUCCGUAACUUCGGGAGAAGGAGUGCCAUGCGAAUGGCCGCAGAGAAUUGGCCCAAGCAACUGUUUAGCAAAAACACAGGUCUAUGCGAAACCGAAAGGUGAGGUAUAUGGGCUGACGCCUGCCCGGUGCUGGAAGGUUAAGGGGAGAGGUUAGCGCAAGCGAAGCUUUGAACUUAAGCCCCAGUAAACGGCGGCCGUAACUAUAACGGUCCUAAGGUAGCGAAAUUCCUUGUCGGGUAAGUUCCGACCCGCACGAAAGGCGUAAUGAUUUGGGCACUGUCUCAACAAUGCACCCGGUGAAAUUGAAAUACCAGUGAAGAUGCUGGUUACCUGCGCCAGGACGGAAAGACCCCAUGGAGCUUUACUCUAGCUUGAUACUGGGAUUCGAUAUUGCAUGUACAGGAUAGGUGGGAGACUAGGAAGUGGUGACGCCAGUUGCCAUGGAGUCAAUGUUGGGAUACCACCCUUGCAGUAUUGGGUUUCUAACCAGCAGCCGUGAUCCGGCUGGGGGACAAUGUCAGGUGGGGAGUUUGACUGGGGCGGUCGCCUCCGAAAGGGUAUCGGAGGCGCUCAAAGGUUCCCUCAGAAUGGUUGGAAACCAUUCGAAGAGUGCAAAGGCAGAAGGGAGCUUGACUGCGACACCGACGGGUGGAGCAGGUACGAAAGUAGGACUUAGUGAUCCGGUGGUAUAAAGUGGGAUUGCCAUCGCUCAACGGAUAAAAGCUACCCUGGGGAUAACAGGCUUAUCACUCCCAAGAGUUCACAUCGACGGAGUGGUUUGGCACCUCGAUGUCGGCUCAUCGCAUCCUGGGGCUGUAGUCGGUCCCAAGGGUUGGGCUGUUCGCCCAUUAAAGCGGUACGCGAGCUGGGUUCAGAACGUCGUGAGACAGUUCGGUCCCUAUCCGGCGUGGGCGUAGGAUAUUUGAGAGGAGCUGCCCUUAGUACGAGAGGACCGGGGUGGACUGGCCGCUGGUGUAUCUGUUGUAUUACCAAGUGCAUAGCAGAGUAGCCAAGCCGGGAAGGGAUAAACGCUGAAGGCAUCUAAGCGUGAAGCCCCCCUCAAGAUGAGAUAUCCCAUAACGUCAAGUUAGUAAGACCCCUUGAAGACGACGAGGUAGAUAGGGCAGAGGUGGAAGUGUGGCAACACAUGGAGCUGACUGUUACUAAUAGGUCGAGGGCAUAACCAAA
rnacentral:rRNA from 1 species